rnacentral:misc_RNA from 1 species
GAUGAAGAACGCAGCGAAAUGCGAUAAGUAAUGUGAAUUGCAGAGUUUUGUGAAUCAUCGAAUCUUUGAACGCACAUUGCGCCCCUCGGUAUUCCGACGGGCAUGCCCGUCCGAGCGUCGUUUGCAACGCAUCGAGUCACAUCUCGGUUUUGGGCGCCGUCCUCCCGGGGACGGGCCCCAAUGCCCUCGGCGGCCUCGGGUGCCCGCCGGAGCGUCUUCGAAAGCAAUCGCUCCGCGCGUGGCGCCCCGGGUUUGCCUCAGUAACGGCGAGCGGCCUCGAGCCGCGCGCACGAACACAAAGGUUUGACCUCGGAUCAGGUAGGGCUACCCGCUGAACUUAAGCAUAUCAAUAAGCGGAGGA